CAAAUUUAAAUAUCCAAUUACAACAUUAACCAUGACAAGAAAUAAAUUAACAGUCAUCCUAAUUAUAUUGAUGAUUUCCUUACAGUAUACGUGAAAUACUAAGAUUGAUUCACGUUCCUGUCUGUUCCCAGUAGUAACACUUUAUAUACCGAUUAAUGUAUCAGUCUUUUUUUCUGCAGUAAUACAAUAUAUACUUACUAGUUAUACAAUAUAUACUUAGAGUAAUUCAUGUCUCUGUCUGUUCCCAAUAGUAAUACUACAUAUACUUGGACUGAUUAACGUUUCUGUAUGUUUCCAGUAGUAAUAAUUUAUAUAGUUAUAUUGACAAACGAUUCAGCCUAUUUCAAGUAGUUAUACUGUAUAAUAUUUUAUACUAAGAAAUGUUAAUGUUUCAGUCUCUUUCCACUUGUAAUACUAUAUAUACAAUACUCAAUAUACUUAGGCUGCUUCACAUUUCAGUCUAUUUCCAGUAGUAAAACUGUAUAUGCAUAAACUGAUUCAUACUUUAUGAAGUUAGACUGAUUCAUGUUUCAGUCUGUUUCAAGUAGUUAUAUUAUGCACUUAGACUUAUUCGCGUUUCUUUUUGUUUCCAGUAGUGAUACUAUAUAUACUAAGAUUGAGCUACGUGUCCGUUUGCUUCCAAUAGUAACACUAUAUAUGCGUAGACUGAUUCCUUUUUCAGUCUGUAGCUUAUAGUGAUUCACGUUUCAGUCUGUUUCCUGUAGUGAUUCACUUUUCAGUCUGUUUCCAAUAUUAAAACUAUAUAAACUUAGACUGUUUCACUUUUCAAUUUGUUUCCGGUAGUAAUACAAUAUAUACGUUUAUAGGCAUUUACCUAGAGCAUAUUAUUUUCAAGGGAAAUAAUUGUGGUCUGACUGUAUUAUUUUGAAAAUCACAUUUGAGAUUUUUUUAUGUGCGCACCGGUACAGUUUUUGUGGGGAAGCGAAAGUUGCUGGAAUUUUGUCUUCUUCUAAAAACAAGCGUCUAAUACAUGUAGUUGCAGCCUGUCUUUGGAAGCUGUUGAAAUAACAAGAAAGAGGCUACAUUGGCAUAGUGUUUUGGUAGAGAGAAGUUUGAAUAUGUACAGUUGUUUGACCUGUCUUACCCUGUGGCAGUCCCAGAAGAUGUUACCAUUAUGAAUAAAUGCAGGGGAAGUGCUAACAGUGUGUUGUCAUGUGAAAUGGACUUUACCCCAACUGUGCUGCAUGAUGUAUAUUCAAGUGUGAGACAGCCAUGCACCAGCUGUAAACUGAGAUGGACCCACACAUGAAAUAUGUUGACUUUUCUAUGUAUUAUCAUCUGUACAGAAUGUGUUUAUGACAAGACUGUAUACAUGUAUUGUUUAAUCAUUUUUCAUUUCCAUUAUGGCAUGCAUGUAAGAAGCAAGUAUUAAUUUAACAAUUGCAUUCAAAGAAAUGUUAAAACGUGACCAAUCUAAUUUAAAGAAUAACCUUCAGUUGGUCUUUUGAAGUUUUAUAUUAUUUGUGGUGGAGAUUGACCCAGUCAUUUAGCAACUUAUACUGUCUGUGAGUCAUUUCUUGUAUGUAAUAGUUUUCUUAAUAAUGCAUAAAAUAUCAAAAUUAUGGUUGAAUGAACUCAUUCAUCACUUGUAGAUUAAUGUUAAUGCAGUUCAACAUUUAACCAUAACUUAAUUAAUAUUCUAUUUAACCAGAUUUGUCACAUAUUUUCAUAUGAACGUUUAUAUGUUACAGUCUAAUCUAAUCUAGAACCCUUACCAAAAUGAAAAGUUUGCGGCAAAUUUGCCGCAAACAUUUUAGUUCACCAGAACAGAGUAAUAAAUGUUUGCAGGAGUUCGCCGGUAGCGGCGACCUUUCGGCAAACGUUUCGGUGACUUUACUGCAAACUCACCACAGACUUUACUGAAUUAAGAGUUUGCCAUAACAUCGCCAGAAACUUUAUCACAUGAUCUUGUUCACCAAAACGUCACCAGAAUCUUUUAUCUAUAUUUUCUUCUCCAAAACAUUCGCCUUAUGAUCUUUUAAUUAUCUGACCAGAUGUGAAAGUUCGCCAGAGGAUUGCCAGAACAAUAUCACAUGACUUCUUCUUUGUUUUUAUUGGCUGCAUAGAGUUUGGCUCCAUUUUCAAACUGCCAAACAGUAGUUGAACAUCGAUACAUUAACAUGAAUUAUUUAUGAUUCUUUACUAAACAAAAACUUCCACAAAAAGAUGGAUAAAUCACCGAAGUAUACUGUGUUUAAUUCCGUGGAUAAAUGUUGCGAUGUAAGGUUAGUUUUCACACUAUUACGCAUGCAAAACCAGAAUGAUUUUUAUACGGUUAGCCUUUGUUUAUUUCAGACAUGUGUCACCUAAAUACCAUUAGAUACAAUAGAUUGUAAUAAAUAAAUUAGUGAAUCUGCAAAUUUAUUAAGACAUUUGCACACAGAGGAAAUUUUUGCAAAUUAGUCAUCAGCUUUCACAACGGUUCCUUUAAAAGUUUCAAACCCAUGUAAGCAUAAAAUAUAUUUACUAACGAUAUACUUUAUCAUAAUGAUCUCGUGCAUUUGUAUUUUUUCUUUAUAAUUAUUUAGAAAAGAUAAAUCGUUAUUAUCAGAUGAUAUAUUGCUAAUUUAAUAAUCCUUUCUUACUUUUCUUGAAAAUGUAUCCUUUGUUCUUCACAAACCAAAGGUGUGUUACUUUAGCGCCAAAAGUUUGCAGCAAAUUUGCGGCAAAACAAAUUUGCAUAAUUGUUUGUUGCAAAGUCGCCGCAAACUUAUUUGCAUAAAUAGUUUGCCAAGAGCUCGCCAGAACAUUGCCAGAAGUUCGCCAGAAAGGUUUUGGCGAAUUUGCGGCAAACUUAUACCAUGUAAAUUAGGUUUGCCGCAAAUUUGCUGCAAACUUCAUUUGCAUAUUCAUUUGCAUAAAUUGUUUGCGGCAAAUUUGCCCCAAACUAAUUUGCAUGGUAAAAGUUUGCCAAAAGAAAGUUUGCGGCAAAUUCACCAAAACGUUUGCGGCAAAUUUGCUGCAACGUUCGCCGGAAACCUGAUAUUUUGGUAAGGGAAAUGAUGUUCCACAAUUUUUCAGUAAUAUUUUAUGUUGUUUUGAUGUCUCAACAUAUAAUUACUAACAUCAACAAAACUAAAGUAUUUUACAAUUUGGUUGGUAUAAUUGGUUGUUUUGUUUAUAUGUUUUAUUUAUUUCCAUCCAGGGGAAUAAAGAAAUAUAUAUUUUAAGAUACCUCAUCAUUCCAGAUAAGUACACUACAUAAUCAAGAUAAAAGAAAUAAGAAAAAUUAUGUUGGUGGAAUUUUAUUUUUAAAAAAAUGAUAUUCAGUCUUUGAAGUAUUUACUUCUUCAGAUAUGUUGGAUUGAAAUGGGAAUAACAACAUACUUUAAAUUUUUGUAGUCAUAAGUUAACAUGGGAAUUAUUAACUUGAAAUAGAUUUAUCUCCCUAUUAUGCCAUCUGGGCUUUAAUAUUUUUCAACAUUGUCAUUGGCAACAAGGCUCAACAUUAUUUUUUGUGUAUAUCUUGCAUUCAUGUGUGAUAAAUGUUUUUAUGGUAUUCUUUAAUAUAAUAUAUGCUUUUCAUUUUACCAUGGAUUUAAAAAAUAUAUAUUGAUAUGUCUGAAAAUCAAGGUAAAAAUACUGACUGAUUAAAUUGCAAUAUAAGAAAGCUUAUAUGAGAUAAAGGGGGGUAAUUCCAUAAAAAUAUGUAGAAUGUAGAUUAUAAAUAUAAUGAAGGGAGGUAAUGAAAUAUUGUCGAGUUAAUAGUCUUCAUUUCUUUGAUGAGCUAAUUAAUUGUUUUACAUGUUGUUUUAUUAACUACAAGUAUGACCUUACAUGUGUACCUGUCCUGAAGGAAAAUAAAAAAGGUUCUUUGUUGUCCUUAUA